GACUAGUUUUUCGUUUUCUUCUCUACUAGUGCCGAAAUCAUUAAUAUUGCAUUCAUCAUUAUAUUUGUGUGAAAUCGAUUAAUGAUUUUGGCAGAAGUAGAGACGAAAACGAAAAACUAGUA
rnacentral:pre_miRNA from 1 species